rnacentral:rRNA from 1 species
CGGUAACAGCUCAAAUUUGAAAUCUGACCUUUCCGGGUCCGAGUUGUAAUUUGUAGAGGAUGUUUCGGAUAAGGCUUUGGUUUAAGUUUCUUGGAACAGAACGUCAUAGAGGGUGAGAACCCCGUCU